GGCAUCAAAUAUUCAAAAACAAACUUGGUGAAUCAGGGAAAUGCUGUGGAUGUAGUGUAUCUUGAUUUCAGUAGAGGUUUUGGCAGAGUCCCCCAUGAUGUUCUCUCAUGGAAACGGGUAAAAUGUGGGUUGAACGAGGUAACUGUUAGGUGAAUUUGUAGCUGGUUGACUGAUCGAACCCAAAGAGUUCCUCAUCAUCCUGGAAAAAAGAGACAAGUGGGGUGCCACAGAGUUCUGUCCUGGGCCCGUUGUUGUUUAACAUAUUUAUAAAUGACUUGGAUGAAGGAAUUGAGGGGGUGCUCAUCAAAUUUGCAGAUGAAACCAAACUCUAAGAUUCUAUGAUUCUAUGAAAUCUCUUGAGGUUGAAGAAGUUGCCUACUCAUGCUUUAAGUUACUUCUUUUAAGCAUCCUGCCAUGCUCACAGUUAUUGCAGCCAAAGGGUGAUUUCUACUCCUAGAGUCCUAUAAGUUUCAUAAAGGUGAUAGUUAAUGAUAUGUCAGCCUGUGAGAGCGAAAAGUCUAAAGCUGCUAUUACCAGCCUGCUGCCACCACUUGAGAAAUUUUCUUCUGUUUUAUUGCACCGUACCUUGCACUGCUGGUUGUUGAGCACUGUGAAAAUUGUUGAUCAUCCCCACAACUACAAUGUGGGAAAAGAAUUGGCCAAGCCACACUGAAUAAGCAAUGAUGUAUUUUAAAUAAGAGCAACAGCUUAAUAGCAUUCUGCAGAAAAUUGACAAAACCAAGCAGAUUAUAUAAAACAGGACAAAAUGCUGCUUUUGUAGCUAAUCCCCAUGUUAGCUAAUCCCCAUGUUACUUUCCCUUUAAGACACGGACCUUAUUACAAUUUAUAAAUGGACUACCCCUUUCAUCACAUUCCAAGGAUUUCCCACGUGUCCUUAAAUCCUCAGUUUAUAAGUGGUCUAACUGAAUCUUCUCCCUCCCUCCAACUGCUCUUUUUUAAAAAUAUAAUUUUUAUUAACAAACCAAUCAAAUCACAUUAAUUCCAAAUUACAAAGCCAAAUUUUUAAAUUUUUGUUGGGGGUACCCAUGCUUCGAGCUCCGAAAGGGAUCCAAACAUCUCUCUUGCUACUGCUUUAAUAUUCACAGUUUGGUCCAAUCUUCACUUUAUUAUUUUCCUCAUCUUCUUGUUGUUAUCAUAUAUUCCUUUCUUUGUGACCUCUGAUGGUGUCCACAAGCGGGUUGAAAACAAAUGUUGUUAUAUCCUGUGUGAAUUUUCCAUUCUUCCAAGAGCCAUAUUCAGACAAACAGACACCAUUUCAACACUUCCGUACAAAGCAUUCUUAAAGUCUGCCCGUUAAUCUUCGCAGGCCUGUCAGUCUCUCCUCAAUUUUCUUAGGGGGUUCUCCAACUGCUCUUAGAGCAACACUGUUCAGUCACAUUUCUACAAUCUCCAGAGCCAAUUGAAACAAUGUGCCUCCUUUCUUCUUUCCUAAUAAUUAACAUAGUGAUAAUAAUUUAUUAGUAGUAGAAAUAAUAAUUUUCCAGUAAUUAACAUAUAAUAUAUUUUAUUCUAUAUCUCUUAAUCCAUAGACUUUACACUGGGUAGACUUUACAAUGAUGCUUUUAUAACUAUAAAGAAGAGUGCACAAACAGAACUUCACACAAGCUGGCUCCGGAUCCAAAUAUAUAAGUUACUGUGAUUGGCAUGUAAAGUCCUAAAUACUUCUCCCAAUAGUUCCCCAACAUCUGCCAGUCUUCCAUCCUGCCUAGAGAAAAGCUCCUGCAUCAAAGGGAGGGACCAAUUUGUCCCAUUUGUGUUAAGAUGUCCAUCCAACCUUUUUUUUUAAUAUCACUUGGCAAUCAGAGAAGGCUACUGUAGCAACCGCCCUCAUUAAAGGUGGAAGGGAGGCAAUUUGAUGGGAUUUUUGAUUGCUUUUAAAGCUUAGAUGCUCCCUCUCAGAACACUUGAGAUGUCUGGUGUAAUAUGUAUGUGGUAAUGUUUCUUAAUAACCAGCAACAACCUAUUGCAAUCAUGUGAAAUUAGAGUUUGUUACUACUUGGCAAAUUAGAGGAUCAAAAUAAGGAUGUCAUUGGUCUUACACUACUAGGAAAACACUCCGAGCUCCCUCUGCCAUAUGUCUCUCUUUGGGGCAGAAGUUGUGAGCAUGUCAGAAGUGCAAUGAGCUCCUGGCGGAACUGGAAGUGUUAGAGAGGAAAAGUGAGUGAUGGAUAUGAUAGCUGGAUAUCUUUCCCACAAUGACAGCUCCCCUGCUGUCAGGGAGAAUGAAGGUCUUGAAAAAGGAUAACAUCACCUCACCUUCUAUUCCCUUAGAAGGUACCCAUUCCUUGGCGGUUGCUAGUGUAUCCUCACAUGCUGAGGAUACCUUUCUAGUGGGUAGUGGGAUCAUUGUUGUUGUUUAGUCAUUUAGUCGUGUCCGACUCUUCGUGACCCCAUGGACCAGAGCAUGCCAGGCACUCAUGUCUUCCACUGCCUCCUGCAGUUUGGUCAGACUCAUGUUUGUAGCUUCGAGAACACUGUCCAACCAUCUCGUCCUCUGUUGUCCCCUUCUCCUUGUGCCCUCAAUCUUUCCCAACAUCAGUGUCUUUUCCAUGGAGUCUUCUCUUCUCAUGAGGUGGCCAAAGUAUUGGAGCCUCAGCUUCACGAUCUGUCCUUCCAGUGAGCACUCAGGGCUAAUUUCCUUAAGAAUGGAUGCGUUUGAUCUUCUUGCAGUCCAUGGGACUCUCAAGAGUCUCCUCCAGCACCAUAAUUCAAAAGCAUCAGCCUUCUUUAUGGUCCAGCUCUCACUUCCAUACAUCACUACCGGGAAAACCAUGGCUUUAACUAUACAGACCUUUGUUGGCAAGGUGAUGUCUCUGCUUUUUAAGAUGCUGUCUAGGUUUGCCAUCGCCUUUCUCCCAAGGAGUAGGCGUCUUUUAAUUUUGUGACUGCUGUCGCCAUCUGCAGUGAUCAUGGAGCCCAAGAAAGUAAAAUCUCUCACUGCCUCCAUUUCUUCCCCUUCUAUUUUAUCUAUUAUUUUAUUUAUUUAUGUAAUUUUAUUUAUACCCCGCCUUCCCCAGCCAAGACCAGGCUCAAUUGACAGACCAGGAGAGAGACCUUGGGGUCAUAGUAGAUACCGUACUUUUCUGUGUAUAAGACUAUGUUAAUUUCUCAUAAAAUAAUCUCUAAAAUUGGGGUCGUCCUAUACAUGAGUAGUGCAGAGUGGGGAUGGGGGAUUGGUUUCUGCUGCGAGCAGGAGAUUUUCAGCGAUGAUUGUUCUGUUGAUUGGUGGCUGUGACAAGGGCUGCUGUUGAUUGGCUGGUGCUUUGGCAAUUGGGCUGGUGACUGGAGGCUGCUGGUUGCGAGCGCGCAGACGAUUUAAGGCCUAUGCGAUGCGUGUGAGAGAUUGGAAGUGUUGGUCAGGUGGGUGAGCAAUUUUCGUUAACCCCCCCCCAAGCUCAACAUCUGUGGGCAAUCUCCCUCCAUUAUAUUAAUUUUGAGUCCCCCCAAAUAGUCUUAUACACAGGGGGCAUAUUAUACACAUAAAAAUACGGUAAUUCAAUGAGCAUGUUGACCCAGUGUGGCAGCUGUGAAAAAGGCAAAUUCCAUGCUAGGGAUCAUUAGAAAAUGAACUGAAAAUAAAACUGCCAAUAUCAUAAUGCUGUAGUACAAAUCUAUGGUACAACCAUAUUUGGAGUACAGUACUCCUGUUACUACCUGGGAGAAAAGCCAAGAACCAAAAUGAAGGAGAAAUCUAAGCAAGCAUCACAUAAGUUGGGUGUGGACAGCAGUUGCUGAAGAGUUAAUGAGUCAGAUUUUAGCAUAUCUAGAUUAAAUAUAUAGAUUUAGCACAUCAUAUUUCUACUUCUAGGACUUUUAUCUUCUCCCUACUUUUCUUUGAUCUUUAACUCUUUUGUUUCUGUUAUGUACUGAGUUGAAUAGGAUCCAAAAUGCAGCAGUCUGAUUGGUCCUAGAACAAUGCAGCAGUAUGAUUGGUCCGCAGGAGCCACCCAAUCCAGCUCCAGGUGGAAGUGAAUCCACAACCUGAUUGGCCUACAGGAGAAUCCCGGAAUUAGCCAAUCACAUGGGGCCCAUUGUGUAAACAAUGUAUAUAAAGCAGACAUCCUGGGGGAACUUCCAUUCCUCCUCAUCACUAUGAGCUGAAUAAAGAGCAUGAAAUCC